CCUACGGGUGGCAGCAGUGGGGAAUAUUGCACAAUGGGCGCAAGCCUGAUGCAGCCAUGCCGCGUGUGUGAAGAAGGCCUUCGGGUUGUAAAGCACUUUCAGCGGGGAGGAAGGCGUUAAGGUUAAUAACCUUGGCGAUUGACGUUACCCGCAGGAGAAGCACCGGCUAACUCCGUGCCAGCAGCCGCGGUAAUACGGAGGGUGCAAGCGUUAAUCGGAAUUACUGGGCGUAAAGCGCACGCAGGCGGUCUGUCAAGUCGGAUGUGAAAUCCCCGGGCUCAACCUGGGAACUGCAUUCGAAACUGGCAGGCUAGAGUCUUGUAGAGGGGGGUAGAAUUCCAGGUGUAGCGGUGAAAUGCGUAGAGAUCUGGAGGAAUACCGGUGGCGAAGGCGGCCCCCUGGACAAAGACUGACGCUCAGGUGCGAAAGCGUGGGGAGCAAACAGGAUUAGAUACCCGUGUAGUC
rnacentral:rRNA from 1 species